rnacentral:rRNA from 1 species
CGAAGGUCCCAAGCGUUAUCCGGAUUUAUGGGUUUAAAGGUGCGUAGGCGGGUUAUUAAGUCAGUGGUGAAAGCCUACAGCUUAACUGUAGAACUGCCAUUGAUACUGAUGAUCUUGAGUACGAUUGAGGUAGGCGGAAUGUGUCAUGUAGCGGUGAAAUGCUUAGAUAUGACACAGAACACCGAUUGCGAAGGCAGCUUACUAAGUCGUAACUGACGCUGAUGCACGAAAGCGUGGGGAGCAAACAGGAUUAGAUACCCUGGUAGUCCACGCCCUAAACGAUGAUCACUCGAUGUGUGCGAUGCACUGUACGCGUCUGAGCGAAAGCAUUAAGUGAUCCACCUGGGGAGUACGACCGCAAGGUUG